rnacentral:lncRNA from 1 species
AAAAAACUAAAUUAACAUUGUUCCCUGUUCGGCCUAUAAACCAAAACCAAGAAAAAUAAACAAUUUGCUCCACUAAAGAUGAUAUGUUGACACAGUCUCCUCUAAAAAUAAUGUUAUUAUGCGUACGCCAAAUACUCCAUGUCAUCGCCAGCCAAAUUAUAUGACGAAUUCGCUUGCUAUGAUUGCCUUUUGCUAAUUCACCAAACAAAGUGAAAUGGCUUGUGACGUCCUCAAAAGGGAUGACAUUAGUGNNNNNNNNNNAUUCGUGAUAAUACCUUUGCAAAAUAAAGCCUCCCGGGUUGGUAAUUUUUCAAGUAACAACCGCCAACCGAAAACGCUAACUUUUGAUGGAACAUUGUUC